AACGAACGCUGGCGGCAGGCCUAACACAUGCAAGUCGAGCGCGCCCUUCGGGGUGAGCGGCGGACGGGUGAGUAACGCGUGGGAACGUGCCCUUCUCUGCGGAAUAGCCUCGGGAAACUGAGAGUAAUACCGCAUACGCCCUUUGGGGGAAAGAUUUAUCGGAGAAGGAUCGGCCCGCGUUGGAUUAGGUAGUUGGUGGGGUAAUGGCCCACCAAGCCGACGAUCCAUAGCUGGUUUGAGAGGAUGAUCAGCCACACUGGGACUGAGACACGGCCCAGACUCCUACGGGAGGCAGCAGGGGGGAAUCUUAGAACAUGGGGGCAACCCUGAUCUAGCCAUGCCGCGUGAGUGAUGAAGGCCUUAGGGUUGGAAAGCUCCUUCAGCUGGGAAGAUAAUGACGGUACCAGCAGAAGAAGCCCCGGCUAACUCCGUG
rnacentral:rRNA from 1 species